rnacentral:rRNA from 1 species
UAGCAUAUCAAUAAGCGGAGGAAAAGAAACCAACAGGGAUUGCCCCAGUAACGGCGAGUGAAGCGGCAACAGCUCAAAUUUGAAAUCUGGCCCCAGGCCCGAGUUGUAAUUUGCAGAGGAUGCUUUUGGCGCGGUGCCUUCCGAGUUCCCUGGAACGGGACGCCAUAGAGGGUGAGAGCCCCGUACGGUUGGACACCAAGCCUUUGUAAAGCUCCUUCGACGAGUCGAGUAGUUUGGGAAUGCUGCUCUAAAUGGGAGGUACAUUUCUUCUAAAGCUAAAUAUUGGCCAGAGACCGAUAGCGCACAAGUAGAGUGAUCGAAAGAUGAAAAGCACUUUGAAAAGAGGGUUAAACAGCACGUGAAAUUGUUAAAAGGGAAGCGCUUGUGACCAGACUUGCGUCCGGUGAAUCACCCAGCUCUCGCGGCUGGGGCACUUCGCCGGCACAGGCCAGCAUCAGCUUGCCGUCGGGGACAAAAGCUUCAGGAACGUGGCUCCUCUCGGGGAGUGUUAUAGCCUGUUGCAUAAUACCCUUCGGCGGGCUGAGGUACGCGCUCCGCAAGGAUGCUGGCGUAAUGGUCAUCAGCGACCCGUCUUGAAACACGGACCAAGGAGUCAACCUUAUGUGCGAGUGUUUGGGUGUCAAACCCCUACGCGUAAUGAAAGUGAACGCAGGUGAGAGCUUCGGCGCAUCAUCGACCGAUCCUGAUGUUCUCGGAUGGAUUUGAGUAAGAGCAUAUAGGGUUGGACCCGAAAGAAGGUGAACUAUGCGUGUGUAGGGUGAAGCCAGAGGAAACUCUGGUGGAGGCUCGCAGCGGUUCUGACGUGCAAAUCGAUCGUCAAACAUGCGCAUGGGGGCGAAAGACUAAUCGAACCUUCUAGUAGCUGGUUUCCGCG